CCCGCUGAGGCGGCAGUGGGAGCCCGGGGCGGGGCUCGCCGCCCGUCCCCGCCGAGGGGCCUGUGGCCAGCGGGGCUGCCGAGGUGAGGAGCAAAGAGCCAAAAUAAGGGUUAGGAAGGGCUUGUGUCUGCCCCGGGGCCCCUUCCCGCCGCGAAGGGGUUCCUUUGGGGUUGCAGCGGGAGACCCUGAGGGGAAGGGAGAUCGAGUCUCUGAAAGCUGAGUCCAGUUCUCUUAAGUUUCUUCCAGCAUGGCAAUUCCCUUUGAAUUCAUCUUUGCAGUUCCUCUCCUGUUGUUGGUUUCUGCACAUUUGCUAAUUCACAGAGGCCUUCAGACUUUGCAGAUGAUACAGAUACUGGCAAUCCCUCUCACAUUACUGGGAUAUGAAGCCCCACCCUGCACUUCAGAUAAUUCUGCCCUUUGGGAAAACAUUGAUAUCAAGCACACUUCCUUCAGAAAUUAAAUUGGAUCUGUGUGAGUUGUUUCAUCAGAACUUUCAGUUGGUAUCAUUGCAGUGAUAUAAUUAUCGUGGUGUCAGUAUGCUCUAAUAAAUACAAGAGAUAAAAGCCCCAAAAGUUUUACAAGAUU